rnacentral:rRNA from 1 species
UGACAACCUGGUUGAUCCUGCCAGUAGUCAUAUGCUUGUCUCAAAGAUUAAGCCAUGCAUGUCUCAGUACAAGCCGCAUUAAGGUGAAACCGCGAAAGGCUCAUUAAAUCAGUUAUGGUUCCUUAGAUCGUACCCACACUUACUUGGAUAACUGUGGUAAUUCUAGAGCUAAUACAUGCAAACAGAGCUCCGACCGGAGACGGGAGGAGUGCUUUUAUUAGAUCAAAACCAAUCGGCGGCGGGCGCGUCCGCGCGUCCGUUCGCCGCUCUACCUGGUGACUCUGAAUAACUUUACGCUGAUCGCACGGUCUCGCACCGGCGACGCAUCUUUCAAAUGUCUGCCUUAUCAACUGUCGAUGGUAGGUUCUGCGCCUACCAUGGUCGUAACGGGUAACGGGGAAUCAGGGUUCGAUUCCGGAGAGGGAGCCUGAGAAACGGCUACCACAUCCAAGGAAGGCAGCAGGCGCGCAAAUUACCCACUCCCGGCACGGGGAGGUAGUGACGAAAAAUAACGAUACGGGACUCAUCCGAGGCCCCGUAAUCGGAAUGAGUACACUUUAAAUCCUUUAACGAGGACCAAUUGGAGGGCAAGUCUGGUGCCAGCAGCCGCGG